AUUGAACGCUGGCGGCAUGCCUUACACAUGCAAGUCGAACGGCAGCACGGGAGCAAUCCUGGUGGCGAGUGGCGAACGGGUGAGUAAUAUAUCGGAACGUGCCCAGUCGUGGGGAUAACGUAGCGAAAGCUACGCUAAUACCGCAUACGAUCUAUGGAUGAAAGCGGGGAUCGCAAGACCUCGCGCGAUUGGAGCGGCCGAUAUCAGAUUAGGUAGUUGGUGAGGUAAAGGCUCACCAAGCCGACGAUCUGUAGCUGGUCUGAGAGGUCGACCAGCCACACUGGGACUGAGACACGGCCCAGACUCCUACGGGAGGCAGCAGUGGGGAAUUUUGGACAAUGGGCGCAAGCCUGAUCCAGCAAUGCCGCGUGCAGGAUGAAGGCCUU
rnacentral:rRNA from 1 species